rnacentral:tRNA from 1 species
GGGCGAUUAGCUCAGUUCGGUCAGAGCACCUCGUUUACACCGAGGGGGUCACUGGUUCGAGCCCAGUAUCGCCCA